rnacentral:rRNA from 1 species
GACGAACGCUGGCGGCGCGCUUAACACAUGCAAGUCGAACGGAGGGCAGCAAUGCCCUUAGUGGCGGACGGGUGAGUAACGCGUGAGCAACCUGCCUUACAGAGGGGGAUAACAUUGGGAAACCAGUGCUAAUACCGCAUGAGACCACGAGUCUGAGUGGACUUGAGGUCAAAGGAGAAAUCCGCUGUAAGAGGGGCUCGCGUCCCAUUAGCUAGUUGGCGGGGUAAAUGCCCACCAAGGCGACGAUGGGUAGCCGGACUGAGAGGUUGGCCGGCCACACUGGAACUGAGAAACGGUCCAGACUCCUACGGGAGGCAGCAGUGGGGAAUAUUGGGCAAUGGGGGAAACCCUGACCCAGCGACGCCGCGUGAGGGAAG